rnacentral:rRNA from 1 species
GACGAACGCUGGCGGCGUGCUUAACACAUGCAAGUCGAACGGAAAGGCCCUGCUUUUGCGGGGUGCUCGAGUGGCGAACGGGUGAGUAACACGGGAGUAACCUGCCCUUGACUUUGGGAUAACUUCAGGAAACUGGGGCUAAUACCGGCUAGGAGCUCCUGCUGCAUGGUGGGGGUUGGAAAGUUUCGGCGGUUGGGGAUGGACUCGCGGCUUAUCAGCUUGUUGGUGGGGUAGUGGCUUACCAAGGCUUUGACGGGUAGCCGGCCUGAGAGGGUGACCGGCCACAUUGGGACUGAGAUACGGCCCAGACUCCUACGGGAGGCAGCAGUGGGGAAUAUUGCACAAUGGGCGGAAGCCUGAUGCAGCAACGCCGCGUGCGGGAUGACGGCCUUCGGGUUGUAAACCGCUUUCGCCUGUGACGAAGCGUGAGUGACGGUAAUGGGUAAAGAAGCACCGGCUAACUACGUG